AUUGAACGCUGGCGGCAGGCUUAACACAUGCAAGUCGAGCGGAGAGAGGUAGCUUGCUACUGAUCUUAGCGGCGGACGGGUGAGUAAUGCUUAGGAAGCUGCCUAUUAGUGGGGGACAACAUUUCGAAAGGAAUGCUAAUACCGCAUACGUCCUACGGGAGAAAGCAGGGGAUCUUCGGACCUUGCGCUAAUAGAUGAGCCUAAGUCGGAUUAGCUAGUUGGUGGGGUAAAGGCCUACCAAGGCGACGAUCUGUAGCGGGUCUGAGAGGAUGAUCCGCCACACUGGGACUGAGACACGGCCCAGACUCCUACGGGAGGCAGCAGUGGGGAAUAUUGGACAAUGGGCGGAAGCCUGAUCCAGCCAUGCCGCGCGUGUGAAGAAGGCCUUAUGGUUGUAAAGCACUUUAAGCGAGGAGGAGGCUACUUUAGUUAAUACCUAGAGAUAGUGGACGUUACUCGCAGAAUAAGCACCGGCUAACUCUGUGCCAGCCGCCGCUGUAA
rnacentral:rRNA from 1 species